CCUANGGGAGGCAGCAGUGGGGAAUCUUGCGCAAUGGGCGACAGCCUGACGCAGCAACGCCGCGUGGGGGAAGAAGGCCUUCGGGUCGUAAACCUCUUUCAGGUAGGACGAAGCUUUGCCGGUGAAUAGCCGUGUGGAGUGACGGUACUGCCACAAGCAGCCCCGGCUAACUACGUGCCAGCAGCCGCGGUAAUACGUAGGGGGCUAGCGUUGUCCGGAAUCAUUGGGCGUAAAGCGCGCGUAGGCGGCCAGAUAAGUCCGGUGUGAAAGUCAAAGGCUCAACCUUUGAAUGCCGCUGGAAACUGUCUGGCUAGAGUCCGGAAGGGGCGAGUGGAACUCCUGGUGUAGCGGUGAAAUGCGCAGAUAUCAGGAAGAACACCAAUGGCGAAGGCAGCUCGCUAGGACGGUACUGACGCUAAGGCGCGAAAGCGUGGGGAGCAAACAGGAUUAGAUACCCCUNUANUC
rnacentral:rRNA from 1 species